GUUGAAUCAACUUUGCUUCCCAGGGAUAAAGCCUAAUUCAUUGUGAUGAAUUAGCAUUUUCCUAUGUUGCUGGGUUCAGUCUGCUAGUAUUUUGUUAAGGAUUUUUGCAUCUAUGUUUCUCAAGGAUAUUGGCCUGAAGUUUUCUGUUUUAAACUCUCUUUUAUUGUUGUGUCUCUGCCAGGUUUGGGUAACAGGGUGAUGCUGGCCUUAUAGAAUGAAUUAGAGAAGAGCCCCUCCACCUGAAUUUUUGGGAAUAGUUUCAGCAGGAAUGGUACCAGCUCUUCUGAAUAAGAAAUAACCCAUAUCAGAGGUCGUGGGCCCCAGAGGAACUGCCCAACCCCAGGACUGGGAUGUCUUGGGACAUCCCACCCUCCUUGACACUGAUUGGUCAAGAUGGCAGGACUGGCCCAAUCAAUGCAUGGGCCUCGAGAAUCUGGCUUAAUUAGAUGCUAGAGGAAGUUUGACGAGAGCUUCUGGGCAAGACAUUUCCCUUCUCUUAAGAGUGUGUGACCUUUGUGGAGUCAUUUAUAUACUCUCACAGUUCUCUCACACGGAGAAUGAGAUUAAGAACAUCUAACUGGAAGAUUUUGGAGAAAUACUCAUGGUAAAACACAUGGCACUUGGUAGGUGUUCAGAAUGAUUAUCAUCAUUAAGACCUUCCUGGCGAGAACUUCUGAUAAAACAACUCAGUGGAGGAGUAUGCUAUAUUAUUGACUAAUACGUAGUUUGAACUGUCAACUGAUUUUAUUUAUCUGAGGCAAUGCUAUCAACACAUCGAUGGAGACAACUGCAUAAAUAUCCAUUUUUGUAGAAUUUCUCUUGUAAUAAAGUUAUAUCUUUUUAUUUUUACUUCGUAUCCAAAAUUUCAACAUUGGAAACCCCUGUUUGUAAAAAGAAAAAGACACACAUAUGUAGAUGUAAGUAUGUCUAACAAUCAGCUGAAGAUGUACAAUGCCAAAUACAAAUGGUAAUGACAGGCUGAACACAGGGUCUAUCAGCCACAAAUUGACUCAAUUUACUGAUUAGUCACAUAUUUCCACUUGGAGCUAUUGUUUAGUUCUAUAGGUAUUAUGGAGAAGACCCCAUCACCCUCACCGCCACACGCAGACACAAACAUACAUAAUGUGUUGAGUGUAGUCUGAUUCUUCAGUUUGUGCAUUCAAAUUAUCUCCCUUUGGCAGAUGUGUCUUGAGCACCAACUGUGCUCACUAGCUGCAGAAUGGCACCUCUUACAGAUCACCUCCAUGAAAGGAUGGGGUGAUUUAUUGCACUUGCCCCCUUUUUUUUGAGAUGGAGUCUUGUUCUGUUGCCAGGCUGGAGUGCAGUGGCACGAUCUCAGCUCACUGCAACCUCUGCCUCCCGGGUUCAAAAGAUUCUCCUGCCUCAGCCUCCCGAGUAGCUAGGACUACAGGCGUGCACCAGCACACCUGGCUAAUUUUUGUAUUUUUUGUAGAGAUGGGGUUUCACCAUGUUGGCCAGGAUGGUCUCGAUCUCUUGACCUCAUGAUCCACCUGCCUCGGCCUCCCAAACUGUUGGGAUUAAAAGUGUGAGCCACCGCGCCCGGCCCACUUGCCCCCUCUUUGAACAAGAACCAUGUAGUCACUGCAGAGAAAUGGGGUGAGCUUAGAGACAUAAAAGAAUUCAAAUAACUUUAUCUUGCAUGUCAAAGUACUUUUUAUUUUCAGAGCUUGUCUAGUCUUUGCAAAGCUAUGCAAAUUAUAAAGCAAUUCAUUAUGGUUAAGAAAAGAGUUUUUCCCAAAGAGCUGCAAAUACUCACCAGUGACACAAAGUAAACAAAGACCCAAAGAUGGAACCAAAAGAUAGUUCUUGUCUUUAGAGGAAGAAUAUCCAAGAUGCAUUGGACAGAACAAAUAAUACCCUAGUGUGUUAAACCAUUUGAAGGGGAGCUUGAUAACUUUUUCCUCAAAGUUUUUUUGAAGAGGUCUUUUAAUUUAAAAGUCCUUUAUCACAUAAGACAAGAAUGAAUGAGAUAUAUUCUGCUUCCCUGGAACAUUCUGUAAAUUGACAGUGAGGGAGAAACUGACCCAGUGGUAUUUGUGGGCUAGACAAAUGUUCCAAUUGUUAUUUUCCGAUGUUUGAAUUUUUCUAAACCAAAACCACGUUUUAUCCUAAGCUCUUUCCCCCUGGAUUUUGGAGUCAUGUGUAUUUGGGGGGAAAUUGAAUCCAUAUGUGUUUAAUCUAUUUAUACUUAAAUCAUUAAUGUGCUGUUUUGUAAGAUUAUUUAUGUGACCAAGAAACCCUCUGACCAUCUUUAGAACUCUGCUUGUCACACCACAGAAGUCCUCAUUCUGUGAAGAGGUCACAUUUGCCCAUAGGCCCUAUAAUCUGACCUUAUUAUAAAUUCAUAAACCAGAUCCCUGGGACCAUUCUUAUUUAAUGGGUUGGUAUCACAUGAUUUCCCAAUUUCAGAAAAGGAAAUAAGCUUAUAAAUGCGCUACCCCGAAAAAGAAGAAAGAAAGAACAAAGACUCUAAAAACCACUUAUGUUUUUUUUUUACUAUUUGGAUGAGAUAACAGUAGAUUAAGAAUAAAAAUAUGCCCUACAGACACAAAUUGGAAGGAUAAUUGAAAGCAUGAGACAGAUCCAAAAUAGUGCUUGAGAUUAUCAGUAAUCUGGAAGGAUGGGAAGGAAAAAUAAAUCCUACCUGGUGGGCCCCAUAACAGACUAUACACCUAAAAGACUUGUUCUUACAGGUUUCUUGAGUAAUAGUUUUAAAAAUCACACGGCUCAUGCCUGUAAUCCCAGCACUUUGGGAGGCCAAGGCGGGCAGAUCACAAGGUCAGGAGAUCGAGACCAUCCUGGCUAAAACGGUGAAAUCGUCUCUACUAAAAAUACAAAAAAUUAGCCGGGCAUGGUGGUGGGUGCCUGUAGUCCCAGCUACUUGGGAGGCUGAGGCAGGAGAAUGGUAUGAACCCGGGAGGCGGAGCUUGCAGUGAGCUGAGAUCUCGCCACUGCACUCCAGCCGGGGUGACAGAGUGAGACUCCGUCUCAAAAAAAAAAAUAAAAUAAAAAAUAACUGAAGAGGGAGAGAAACCUAGGCAGGUUAUUAUGCCACACUGGAUGGUGUUUUAUGCAGGGCUGAUGCAAAUAACAAAUAACAAUCGUUGAGUUAACGUAUCCUGCAAAGACUUGCUAGAGCUUCCCCUUGGAAUCUCUACUGGACACAAACAAUAGGAAUCCAUGGCCUUGACCAUGGCAAGGCAAAAGAAGGUUUCAGGGGUAAGCUGAUAUUUUGAAUAUCCCAGUUCAAAGAAUCAAUAGAUUCUUCAAGCAGAACUAAGUCCAAUUACAACUCUAACCUACCACAAUAUAAAAAAUAAAGUCAACUCUAAUGGUUGCACACUUUAUGCCUAGAGAAUUUUGUAACAGCUAUUGUAAAAAACACCAAGUUUAAUUUUUUAAAAAAGCAUAAAGGGAAUUUAGUCUUCUAAUGAGUGCUGGCAACCCAGCAGGAUGUCCUGAGGUCUCUCUGUGAAUGCAUGCUGUGGAUCUGACAAGUCAUACGCAUAGAGCUGAACUGGGGAAAGCUUGGCCAAUGGCCAAAUAUUGAACAGAAACUAGACGAUCUCUAGUUUUUACACAGAUGCCUUUUUCUGAUUAUCAGAAAGACAUUUAGUGCUAAACACAUGUGAGUGAGAGAUAAAAGGUUAAUUAAUACACACACACACACACACACACACACACACACACACACACACACAAUUGUAUUGUCAUUUCCUGACCACACCAGAAACUGCAUUUCAACUCACUGCAAUUCUGCAUAGUGGCACAACAUGCCAGUGUGUGCUGAAGUAGCACCUUAGCUCUCCUGAACACAGUCAAGAAGCAGAGGGGUAGGCUCUAACAUUUAAUGGGUAACAACCACAAGCCAGGCUUGGUCUAGCCACUUUACAUACAACCAGCUUUCAAAGUAAUCCUGUGUGGGAGGGAAAACUAACACACAUUCAAUGUCUUCUCCAUCAAGAACUUUAUAUAGAUUAAUUAAGUCCUUUAAUUCACCCAAAGAGUCUGGACUGAUGUUUUGAAACUUGCCUUUUUCACAUUCUGAAGUAUUACAAAGAUUUUCCAAUCAAGAUGUGAAAUAUUCUACAACUUUUCAAUGGUUACAUGGUAUUGACUGAAUGAAUGUACUAUAACUUAUUUAAUAGUCUCUUACUACUGAACAUUUAUGAAAUUUCUAUUGUUUUCCUAUUACAUAUAAUGCAACAAUAAACUUCCUUUUAAAUAAGUUUAGUUCACUUCUGUAACAAUUUUAUCAAACUUUAUUAGUAGAAACAAGUUUCCGGUACAUUUUCUGAAAUUUUGAUUCAUAUAUCAUAUUCUUUCCUGU
rnacentral:lncRNA from 1 species